GCCUUGGUGGUGGAAUGGUAGACACGAGGGACUUAAAAUCCCUUGGGCAGAAAUGCCUGUAUGGGUUCGAGUCCCAUCCGAGGCA
rnacentral:tRNA from 1 species